CAAUAGCGUAUAUUAAAGUUGUUGCAGUUAAAGCGCUCGUAGUUGAAUAUCUGCUAUAUGUGUUCGGUCCACUUUGGUGUGACAGUUUACGAAUAGCAUUCGUUUGCGAUAACUUGUUGCUGCAAACCGUUUACUUUGAGGAAAUUAGAGUGUUCAAAGCAGGCUUUCGCCUUGAAUACUUCAGCAUGGAAUAAUUGAUAGGACUUCCGUUCUGUCUUUGGUUCUCGGAACGUGAAGUAAUGAUUAAUAGGGACGGUCGGGGCAUUCGUAUUGAACAGUCAGAGGUGAAAUUCUUAGAUUUGUUUAAGACGAACUACUGCGAAAGCAUUUGCCAGGUACGUUCCCAUUAA
rnacentral:rRNA from 1 species